rnacentral:misc_RNA from 1 species
GAGUUCGCGGGAGAGUAAGUUAUUGCCAGGGUUUUUAUUUUGUAAUUUAAACCUUAAAUUUAUUUUUUAUAUUUUUUUAAUGUUUAUAUUUUUGAAUGUUUCAUUCAAAUAAUAUAAAAAAUAAUAUAUAUAUUGACAUGGAUUAAACAAAAGAUAUAUAUUAUUUUAUGUUGUAUAAACAAAUUGGCAAAAUAGAGAUGGAAGAUAAAAAUAUGGUCAAAGUAAUAAGAGUCUAUGGUGAAUGCC